rnacentral:SRP_RNA from 1 species
GCCGGGCAUGGUGACUCAUGCUUGUAAUCCCAUCACUUUGGGAGGCUGAGGCGGGUGGAUCACCUGAGGUCAGGAGUUCAAGACCAGCCUGGCCAACAUGGUGAAACCCCGUCUCUA